rnacentral:lncRNA from 1 species
GGCUUCUCUAGAAGGGCUGUGUCAGGGAUAUGUUUCACUUCCUGGUUUUUAAAGUAAUAGAGUAUUUCUUCUCCUCUUAAACAUGCUGAUGUUUGUGCCACAUCCUCUGAGUACCCUCUGUAGGUGAAGACAGAUUACAGAGGUGAGGGGUCCUGAAUGGGGGCACACAGGGCGCAUCAGAGAAAGUUCUAGAACUCCAGGAAAGAUGAAAAGAAGCAGGAGAUAUGAGGUACCGUCCCCCAGAUGGCUCAGCACAAACCCCUCCUCCACAUCUUCCUCUGUCUUCAAACUGUGUUCAUGGUGGCUUCUUUCUUCAUGCCUUCUCAGGGGAGCAGAACACAACCUUCAGAUACAGGUCUCCAUGGGAGCCAUAUGAAGACUCAAGGUUCUACAAGAAAGCAAGCUGAGCAAGCCAUGAAGAGCAAGGCCGUAUGCAGCACCCCUCCAUGGCCUCUGCAUCAGCUCCUACCUCCCUGCUUGAGUUUUGGCCCUGACUUUCUUCAAUAAUGAACAGCAAUGUGGAAGUGGAAGCCAAAUAAACCAUUUCCUCCCCAA